UACGUAGGGUGCGAGCGUUGUCCGGAAUUAUUGGGCGUAAAGGGCUCGUAGGCGGUCUGUCACGUCGGGUGUGAAAACACGGGGCUUAACCCCGUGCCUGCUUCCGAUACGGGCAGACUAGAGGUAUGCAGGGGAGAACGGAAUUCCUGGUGUAGCGGUGAAAUGCGUAGAUAUCGGGAGGAACACCUGUGGCGAAAGCGGCGCACUGGACCAUAACUGACGCUGAGGCGCGAAAGCUAGGGGAGCAAACAGG
rnacentral:rRNA from 1 species